rnacentral:rRNA from 1 species
UGCAGUCGAACGUGAGCCUAUUUCGGUAGGUGAAAGUGGCGCACGGGUGAGUAACACGUAGCUUAUCUGCCUCAAAGCGGGGGAUAACGCACCGAAAGGUGUGCUAAUACCCCAUAAGCUCACGCUGAAUAGGAAGGUGUGAGAAAAGUUCCGGCGCUUUGAGAUGAGGCUGCGGCCCAUCAGCUAGUUGGUAAGGUAACGGCUUACCAAGGCAACGACGGGUAGGGGGCCUGAGAGGGUGACCCCCCACACUGGGACUGAGACACGGCCCAGACUCCUACGGGAGGCAGCAGUGAGGAAUAUUGGUCAAUGGAGGAAACUCUGAACCAGCGACGCCGCGUGGGUGAUGAAGGUUUUCGGAUCGUAAAACCCUUUUCUGAGUGACGAGUAAGGACGGUAGCUCAGGAAUAAGUGUCGGCUAACUACGUGCCAGCAGCCGCGGUAAAACGUAGGACACAAGCGUUAUCCGGAAUUACUGGGCGUAAAGCGCGCGCAGGCGGUUGAGCAAGUCAGUUGUGAAAGCUCCCGGCUAAACUGGGAGAGGUCAGGUGAUACUGCUGAACUGGAGGCAGUCAGAGGCGUGUGGAAUUCCGCGUGUAGUGGUGAAAUGCGUAGAGAUGCGGA